CUAGUCUUACCAUCCAUUGUGAGCCUGGGAGAUUUGCGUGAUGGGACAGUUGCCCAGAAGGAUCACAAAACAUUAAUGGUGACCUCUCUGAUGGUGAAGACAGGGUUAGUACAUUCAAAAUCCAGGACACUAACCAGUGCAAUUCAGCUCAAGAACUAACACUUAACCACAUCACCAUGGCUCUCCAUGCUUGCCUAAGUUUAUACAUACAUCCAUCUUUGUUUCUCUCCUUGCCUCUCAUUUAUCGGACCAAUGAUACUGUGGAGAAAGUUAAAGAAGAGUUCCCCAGUGGUGGGAGUGGGGAGACUUUCCUUCCUUUCAAGGCAGUGAACCAGAGGCAGUGAAUCCUAGCUCUGCCACUUUUCAGCAAGUGACCUUGGGCCAAGUUAUUCAACCUCCCUCCUCUCCUCGGUUUCAUCAUCUGUAAAAUGGAGGUGCCACCAGCACCGACUUCAUUGGGUUUCCGUGAGUUAUGAGUUAAUGUUUUUGUAAAGUGGUUAGAGAAGUGAAUUUCUAUUACUAAAUUUGGACCCUCGGCUGUUUGAGGUGACUGGGGCAAAGUCUAGAGGGUGGGUAAAAGCAGGCACCAUCCUGUGGGAACACAGAAGGAAAGAGCCCUGGAGCCCAGACGGAGGAUGGG
rnacentral:lncRNA from 1 species